UGACAUGUCAACAUGUCUGCCGUGAAAAAGGGCUAACUUCUGCUGUAAACACGUGCUGCUCCUGCUCACAUACAGUUAGAAAGUUGAAUUGCCAUCUGUUUGACCAUGUCGCUUAAGGACAGCUUUGUGGAGGAAAUAAUCAUGUUUGGCCAUUAGUGCCCUAUUUCUGUUACUCAUCUUUUUCGUGAGGCGCGCACUUCAAAACAGAGGCUAACGUUUUCUGUCGUGCUGCUAGCUGCUUUGGACCACAGCAACACGGCAAGACUGACUGCUCUACCAAACCAGCUCACUGUAAGCCCUUAUCCAGCAUGGAGCCAAAGAGUUCAGUGAUGCCAAGCUGAGUCCCUUAAUAACCCCACAGCUCUCUUGCCGGUUCCCAGAGCCAAUCCUGCUGUGAAUGACUACUAAUAUGAUGGUGGGCCCUGCCGAGACAUGGAGUCCACUUCCUGUAUGACUAAAAGAGGUGUGCCUGCUGCAAUUGAUAUACUGCUUACCACAGAAGAAAGCUCACCAAUGCCACGCUACAUUAUCCUGAAAAUAGACUACACAGGAACAAAAAGAGCACUCCCUGGAACUCCCAAAAGGACCCCUGGAAGUCCCCGCGCUGCGGAUUGGGAAACACACCAAACCCUGCUCCAGGGUUUUAAAAAAAAACAAAAAACGCUGCAGGCACACAGGGCAAGAUAAGUAUUACGAUCAAUAUUUCAAAUAUUUGCUGUACAUUGUGAAAUGUUGACAAUAAUCUGACAAUGAAAUGUCUUUCCACUUUUAGUUUUUGAGCUGUGCGCUGGGGAACUCAGAGAGUUGGGGGGAUGAUGUCUAACAUCAGAAUGGAGAAGUUGUCAAAACCGUGUGUGUGUGUGUGUGUGUGUGUGUGUGUGUGUGUGUGUGUGUGUGUGUGUGUGUGUGUGUGUGUGUGUGUGUGUGUGUUGCAUGUAUUACCAGUGACAGCGCAGUCAGUGGUCUACGCAUGAUGUGGCAUCAGCUCUAGCAGACAGACUAAAAUAGUGCCUUGUGUGACAAAGUGUGCCCAAUAGUGAGAGAGAAUGAUUUUUUUUCCCUUUUUCUUUUUUUUACACCAGCUUCCUUCCUAUGGUAAAUUGUAGGCCAGAGGUGGCGGAAAUACGUCAGUUAUGUGGGUUCUCUGAAGCUUGACUGUGUCUCUUAAUUUCGGAUGAGGGGAAUGAGAGAG